UUUACAUUAACCUGACUUAAUUGUUUGGCUUUAGUUAUGUCAACUUACUUUCAUGAGUUCAAUUAACUUAAAAGACACACAUUUCAUCUAAAACAAACGGUUAACUUUGAGUUGACGUGAACCAAUUAAGUUGAAUGCAGUUUUACGUCUGACGUCAUUACGCAAGCUUUGCCCGAGACAGAUCCACUUCUUGUACCGACCGCUUGUGCAGCCGCCAUUUCUUCUGACCAUCGACUGUCCACCGGAUUGUAAAACAGCCUGGAGCCAAGCAUCAUCAGACCAUAGAAGAUUGCCAUGGCAAGUUCAAAACCUGCAAGACUGAAGGUGAUUCUAGGAGAGAGCAACACUGAAAAACUGACUCUUCCAAAUGGCAUACCAGAUUCUCUGGAUGAUCUUCUCAGCAAGGUGAAGGAUACCUUUGGUUUAAAGACCAACAUCAGACUGCAAUAUAUGGACAAAGACUUUGGUAAUGACUUCUUCAACCUCAGCUCAACUUCUGACCUUGAGGACUUGGGAACAGUCAAGGUGAUUCAAGAAGAAGCAGUUCAACCUUUUGUUGAUGUCAUUGAA